GCUUACGGCCAUACCAGCCUGAAUGCGCCCGAUCUCGUCUGAUCUCGGAAGCUAGGCAGGGUCGGGCCUGGUCAGUACUUGGAUGGGGGCAAUACCGAGAUACCAGGUGCUGUAAGCU
rnacentral:rRNA from 1 species